rnacentral:lncRNA from 1 species
AAAGGAAUCCUUUCUUUUACUGGUUUUUGUUUUUGGUACAUCCAUCAUUACAUAAAAGAUAACAUAUGAUUAAAGUUCUAUUAAUCAAAAUAGAGUCAUUUAAUUAGUAAAAAGAAUUGAUAGAGUAAGGUACAAUAGAGUUUGAUACAUUUUUGUAAGAGAAAAUAUAAUUAUAAAAAGCCACUUUACAUCUUUCAAAAAAAUAAAAUCCUUAUGCAAAAAGGAAAAAGUUUGGUCUGUUGUUUCACACUUUUACGUACCUCCUUCCACAUGAUCAUACCACCAUUUGCAUCCUGCUCUUUGUGAAACCAUCACCAUUACUCAUCAUGUACAUUGGCAUACCAUGAAAGUGACCCAAGCAUACCAUGUUUCAUCAUCAAUAUUACAUCAAGUAUAUACCAUUCAUCAUCUAACAAGCAUGGCAUAGAUAAAGAAGAUCAAAUAGGACUCAUCGUUCAAGUAGCAAACAUAUAUGCAUAUCAUACAUAUACACAUGAACUUGCAAAACACGAAAAGCAUUAUCAUCAUACAUCCAAAAUCAAUUCACGAGCAUCAUACAUAACCAUGAACCAAGCAGCAUACAUAACCAUGGGCAUAUAUGAAUAAAAAACAAAAAGGUGAAUGAACAAACUACAUAGACCCACAUCAUACAUGACAUAUAUACACAAAAAGAAACAACUCAAAAUAUCUCAGCAAGCAAUAAAACACGUUUCUAUCCCACCACACCCAAAUCCCUUGAUUUCAGGGAUUGAAAUGAGGACCCUAACAGAUUGAUUCCUUUUGCUAUACAUUUCACCAUUAUCUCACAAAUAGUUUUACACGAAUAAGAAGAAAUAUAUGAGUGAUAACAAUCAAUUUACACGCGUACCUCACCUAAAUCUCACCCUAUUUCAUUUCCUAUAAAUAGAUUCCACUAUUAUAUUCAAAAGGACCAAUUCUUUACUCACUGAAACGCUACCCAAAUUGACCUAAAAUUUCACUUAGAGCUCAAAAAUCCCAA